UGCAGCAGUGGGGAAUAUUGCACAAUGGGGGAAACCCUGAUGCAGCGACGCCGCGUGAGCGAAGAAGUAUUUCGGUAUGUAAAGCUCUAUCAGCAGGGAAGAAAAUGACGGUACCUGACUAAGAAGCCCCGGCUAACUACGUGCCAGCAGCCGCGGUAGUACGUAGGGGGCAAGCGUUAUCCGGAUUUACUGGGUAUAAAGGGAGCGUAGACGGAGCAGCAAGUCUGAUGUGAAAACCCGGGGCUCAACCCCGGGACUGCAUUGGAAACUGUUGAUCUGGAGUGCCGGAGAGGUAAGCGGAAUUCCUAGUGUAGCGGUGAAAUGCGUAGAUAUUAGGAGGAACACCAGUGGCGAAGGCGGCUUUCUGGACUGAAACUGACGCUGAGGCUCGAAAGCGUGGGGAGCAAACAGGAUUAGAUACCCUGGUAGUCCACGCUGUAAACGAUGAGUGCUAGGUGUUGGAGGGGAACCUUCGGUGCCGUCGCAAACGCAAUAAGCACUCCACCUGGGGAGUACGACCGCAAGGUUGAAACUCAAAGGAAUUGACGGGGGCCCGCACAAGCGGUGGAGCAUGUGGUUUAAUUCGAAGCAACGCGAAGAACCUUACCAAGGUUUGAGAUCCCCCUGACGUACAUAGAGAUAUGUAUAUCUUUUCGGAGACAGGGGAGACAGGUGGUGCAUGGUUGUCGUCAGCUCGUGUCGUGAGAUGUUGGGUUAAGUCCCGCAACGAGCGCAACCCUUAUGAUCAGUAGCCAGCAGGUAAAGCUGGGCACUCUGGUAAGACUGCCGUGGAUAACACGGAGGAAGGCGGGGAUGACGUCAAAUCAUCAUGCCCUUUAUGUCUUGGGCUACACACGUGCUACAAUGGUUGGUACAACGAGAAGCGAGAUAGAGAUGUUAAGCGAAACUCUAAAAACCAAUCUCAGUUCGGAUUGUAGGCUGCAACUCGCCUACAUGAAGUCGGAGUUGCUAGUAAUCGCGAAUCAGAAUGUCGCGGUGAAUGCGUUCCCGGGUCUUGUACACACCGC
rnacentral:rRNA from 1 species